UACGGAGGGGGCUAGCGUUGUUCGGAAUCAUUGGGCGUAAAGAGCUUGUAGGCGGUUUGUCGCGUCUGCCGUGAAAAUCCGGGGCUCAACCCCGGACUUGCGGUGGGUACGGGCAGACUAGAGUGUGGUAGGGGAGACUGGAAUUCCUGGUGUAGCGGUGAAAUGCGCAGAUAUCAGGAGGAACACCGAUGGCGAAGGCAGGUCUCUGGGCCACUACUGACGCUGAGAAGCGAAAGCGUGGGGAGCGAACAGG
rnacentral:rRNA from 1 species